CUAAGAAUAUUCCGCAAUGGACGGAAGUCUGACGGAGCGACGCCGCGUGGAUGACGAAGGCCGAAAGGUUGUAAAGUUCUUUUGCUGGGGAAGAAUAACCGCAGGAGGGAAUGCCUGUGGGAUGACAAGAACCGGCGAAUAAGCCCCGGCCAACUACGUGCCAGCAGCCGCGGUAACACGUAGGGGGGCGAGCGUUGUUCGGAAUUACUGGGCGUAAAGGGCAUGUAGGCGGCUUGGAAAGCCUGGCGUGAAAGUCUGCAGCUUAACUGCAGGGGUGCGCUGGGAACUGCUGAGCUUGAGUGACGGAGAGGGAGCUGGAAUUCCUGGUGUAGGGGUGAAAUCUGUAGAUAUCAGGAAGAACACCGAUGGCGAAGGCAAGCUCCUGGCCGAUGACUGACGCUGAGGUGCGAAAGUGUGGGGAUCAAACAGGAUUAGAUACCCUGGUAGUCCACACAGUCAACGAUGUGCACUAGGUGCUGGGGCGGUAGCUUCGGUGCCGGAGCGAACGUGGUAAGUGCACCGCCUGGGGAGUAUGCUCGCAAGGGUGAAACUUAAAUGAAUUGACGGGG
rnacentral:rRNA from 1 species